AACAUUAAUGUUGUUGUUGUUCUUUGCUUCAUUUUACUCAUCACAUUUUCUAGUUCUGCAGAGGAUUCAGCUGACAAGAAAUAUAUAAAGUUUCCACCAAACUCAAGUCUUGGAGAUGGAAAUCCAAAAAUUCCCGCUAACCCUUAUCACAGAGCCUGCCUUAAAUUAACGCGUUGUCGAGGCAGUGUAAGAGACCAACC
rnacentral:lncRNA from 1 species